rnacentral:rRNA from 1 species
CCUACGGGUGGCAGCAGUCGAGAAUCAUUCACAAUGGGGGAAACCCUGAUGGUGCGACGCCGCGUGGGGGAAUGAAGGUCUUCGGAUUGUAAACCCCUGUCAUGUGGGAGAAAAUUAAAAAGAUAGUACCACAAGAGGAAGAGACGGCUAACGCUGUGCCAGCAGCCGCGGUAAUACAGAGGUAUCAAGCGUUGUUCGGAAUCACUGGGCGUAAAGCGUGCGUAGGCUGUUUCGUAAGUCGUGUGUGAAAGGCGCGGGCUCAACCCGCGGACGGCACAUGAUACUGCGAGACUAGAGUGAUGGAGGGGGGACCGGAAUGCUCGGUGUAGCAGUGAAAUGCGUAGAUAUCGAGAGGAACACUCGUGGCGAAGGCGGGUUCCUGGACAUUAACUGACGCUGAGGCACGAAGGCCAGGGGAGCGAAAGGGAUUAGAUACCCCAGUAGUC